rnacentral:rRNA from 1 species
UACAGAGGGUGCAAGCGUUAAUCGGAAUUACUGGGCGUAAAGGGUGCGUAGGCGGUUAAUUAAGUUGUAUGUGAAAACCCUGGGCUUAACCUAGGAAUUGCAUAUAAAACUGAUUAGCUAGAGUGCGGUAGAGGGAAGUGGAAUUUCCGGUGUAGCGGUGAAAUGCGUAGAUAUCGGAAGGAACAUCAGUGGCGAAGGCGACUUCCUGGACCGUUACUGACACUGAGGCACGAAAGCGUGGGGAGCGAACAGG